UACGAAGGGGGCUAGCGUUGUUCGGAAUUACUGGGCGUAAAGCGCACGUAGGCGGACAUUUAAGUCAGGGGUGAAAUCCCGGGGCUCAACCCCGGAACUGCCUUUGAUACUGGGUGUCUAGAGUCCGGAAGAGGUGAGUGGAAUUCCGAGUGUAGAGGUGAAAUUCGUAGAUAUUCGCAAGAACACCAGUGGCGAAGGCGGCUCACUGGCCCGAUACUGACGCUGAGGCACGAAAGCGUGGGGAGCAAACAGG
rnacentral:rRNA from 1 species